rnacentral:rRNA from 1 species
CCUACGGGAGGCAGCAGUGGGGAAUUUUGGACAAUGGGCGCAAGCCUGAUCCAGCAAUGCCGCGUGAGUGAAGAAGGCCUUCGGGUUGUAAAGCUCUUUUGUCAGGGAAGAAACGGGUGGAGCUAAUAUCUCUGCCUAAUGACGGUACCUGAAGAAUAAGCACCGGCUAACUACGUGCCAGCAGCCGCGGUAAUACGUAGGGUGCAAGCGUUAAUCGGAAUUACUGGGCGUAAAGCGUGCGCAGGCGGUUUUGUAAGUCUGUCGUGAAAUCCCCGGGCUCAACCUGGGAAUUGCGAUGGAGACUGCAAGGCUAGAAUCUGGCAGAGGGGGGUAGAAUUCCACGUGUAGCAGUGAAAUGCGUAGAGAUGUGGAGGAACACCGAUGGCGAAGGCAGCCCCCUGGGUCAAGAUUGACGCUCAUGCACGAAAGCGUGGGGAGCAAACAGGAUUAGAUACCCUGGUAGUCCACGCCCUAAACGAUGUCUACUAGUUGUCGGGUCUUAAUUGACUUGGUAACGCAGCUAACGCGUGAAGUAGACCGCCUGGGGAGUACGGUCGCAAGAUUAAAACUCAAAAUGAAUUGACGGNUGAGAGAGCGAGAGACGACGAGGGAGGAGG